rnacentral:sRNA from 1 species
GGAUGUGAGGGUGAUAUGACUGUGACAUCUGUCACACCACUGAUCACCAGGGUUGAUCUGGCUGGCUAGACGGGUGUCCCCUUCCUCCCUCACUGCUCC